GGUGUGCCCAGGUGUGGCCCAGGUGUGCCCAGGUGUGCCCAGGUGUGCCCAGGUGUGCCCCAGAUGUGCCCCCAGGUGUGCCCAGGUGUGCCCAGGUA